AUUUAUAUAGUUUAGGACAAAACAUUACACUUUCACUGUAAAGAUAAAGAAAACUUUUAUAAAUA
rnacentral:tRNA from 1 species